AACAAAAAAAAUCAAAGAUUAACGUCGAAUAGGAACGAUGCACACGGUAUUGGCUUCUUACCUCGUAGUACAUGUUUCCAUUGUCCUUGCACCACACCACAUGUUCCACUUUGAGCUUCUUCAACAGUUCGUGUAACACCUUUGCAAAUUGAUAACAGAAAAGAAACGAAACAAAAGUUGCAAGUCACAUAUCUAUACCUCGGAGGAAUCAUCAUCGUCGAGUUUCAAUAGUUGUGUUCUCGUUCUUGUCUCCCUGAUACGUAGGUCCACCCUUGGUGCAGGCGCUAGGUUUCCAUCCUUCUCGUUUCUGGGCUUCUUCAAGGGAACGCCAAAAAUGAGCUCGUGCUCGAAGCUCGAUGUGGGUGUAGAUCAAUCUCGAGCGGAUAGUCGAAGCAUCGAUUUCAUUAGCAUCUCGCUAAUUGCUUUGUUGCUUUGCUCUUAAUUAGCGUGACGUCGAUGAUGAAUCAGUCGAGGCUCGUUUAUCUUCUACGAUUGUUCUACGGCCAUACUUAAGGAGAGGAGCGCUUGGACAAUUUCCGUAUGUCUGUCGCCUCUAAGGACUUGGACGAUCCCAGGCAAGAUGCCAGUUUAUUGUACAGGAUCCAUUCGUAUAAAUGCAUUUCACACUUCAGGGAUGAAUUCAUCAUAUAAAAAUAAUGGAAAAUGUUUAGUAAAUACGGGAUCACUUUUGCUCUGCUUCCAAGUUGUAACUAUUAAUCAGAAGAAGAUGCUACUCCAAAGCAUUUUUAGCUUUCUAAAGAAUAUGUAACAUUCGGAAUGUACAUUGCCUUUGUCUAAGUUAUUAACCUGUAACGAAAGCUUACUAAGUUUUUACGUUGAAUCCACGUCUCAAGUGAAUUUCAUUUCCACGAAUGCGCCAUAUACAUAAAUGCAUGCGAUGAACGAAGCAUUUUGUUGUAUUAUUAUCUCUAUUUUCUUUUCAGAGAUCUUUCUGGUGAGUCGUCGAAACGUGACCAUUCACGAGUACGCUUGUUGCAUGGAAUUACUGGUUCUCUGCAGGAAUUUUCGCAGAUUUCUAAUUCGUCAAAAUUCAAACAUUCGUUUUCUUCGAUUGGAGCCUGAAUACAAAUUUAU